UACAGAGGUCUCAAGCGUUUGUUCGGAUUCAUUGGGCGUAAAGGGUGCGUAGGUGGCGCUGUAAGUCGGGUGUGAAAUUUCGGAGCUUAACUCCGAAACUGCAUUCGAUACUGCGGUGCUUUGAGGACUGGAGAGGAGACUGGAAUUCAUGGUGUAGCAGUGAAAUGCGUAGAGAUCAUGAGGAAGACCAGUGGCGAAGGCGGGUCUCUGGACAGUUCCUGACACUGAGGCACGAAGGCCAGGGGGAGCAAACGGGG
rnacentral:rRNA from 1 species